CAAUUGGAGGGGGGGGGGGUUCAACUGGUGUUCUAUUUAUUUUUUCAUUGUAUUCACAGGAAUGUCCCUGUGUUGAUGUGGAAUAUUGUUAUGAUUAUUGCAAUAAAAAAAAAACAUUAUAAUAAUACAACAAAAAUAAUAAUAAAUAAAUCGCCACGUUUCUGCUUGACAUUGUCUACACUUCCUACCAUUCAUAAAAUUCCCAGCACGUGGUGUCGAAAAAAAAAAAAGCACGGUCAAAUAUGGUCAUGUCCGCCGCGCGCCCAUUGAUCAACUUCCUCCUGUUACUUUGCAACCAGGCCAUUUAAAAUAAACUGAAACUGAAAGCACGAGACCCUAGCCCCCCUUCCCUCUCUUUCCCUCCUUAAGGUUCUGCCCUAUUAUACAAACAGGUGGGCGGUUUCUACAAGCAUUAUAAGAGUGAAAGGACGUUUCAGCUUCUGCAAUACAAGCGUAAAGAGACGUCUGCAGGUAAACUGACAGCCAAUAUCCUGCCCAUUUAUCCAAGGAGGCGCUGUAGGGUUUUACAACAAGUUGAGAAGAUCAUAGGAAUACCGUAGUCCCCAUAUCCAGUCGUGAAAAGGAAAUGCAUACAUCUUUGCCCGUAGCCGUUUAGAAACGUUCCCUUCAUUUGCUGCUGCGGUUUACGGUGCGCCAUAUGGGACCGUUACUAACAGAUAUGCCGCUGGUGGCAUCCUUCGUCGACUCGCGAUCAGAAGGCAGCGGCACGUCUUUCUCCGGUGGGGACUGCCCAAGCCCAUCUGAAUCGGAGAGAGGAGGACAGAAAGGAGUGUGUGUGGACCGGAGAGGUAAAAGAAGAGUGAAGAACAGAGACGCUGCCAGGAAGAGCAGGAAAAAACAGACGGAGAGAGCAGACAUUCUCCACCAGGAUCUACAGACCUUGGAAAGUUCUAACUCAGCUCUAGAGAAGGAGAUUGCUGGUCUGAGAAGAGAGUUCCGGCUCUACACAGCCACCCUUGAGCAACAUGAAUCUGCCUGCACCCUCCGGCCCUCGUCUAUACCCGCCAAUAUCCCCUGCUGCCAGAUCCUGUCCCCCUCCGCGUCAUCUAUUGCCCCUGUGACUACCCCUGCACCCGCUGUGUCACCUCAAACCACCCCGGCACCCGCUGUGUCCCCUCAAACUACCCCGGCACCCGCUGUGUCCCCUCAAACUACCCCGGGCUCUCUUCUUGCCCCAGUACCUGGAGGGCAGAGGACUUGUUUACCACUCCCCACUCUCGUCACUGUUCCUUCAACUGCCCAUGUGACUAACCCCUACCCUUUGCUUUCCACUCUAUAUUCCCCAAUAUCUAAUAAUGCCUCUCUGAUUGCCCCAAACAAUAUUUGUUCCUCUCCAAUUACCCCAAAAACUAAUAUUUCCCCUCUAACUACCUCGAUAAAUAAUCUUGCCCAUCCAACUACCCCAAUAACUAAUCUUGCCCCUCCAACUAUCCCUGCUCCUACACUGUCACCCAUCUCCUACCCUCUGACCAUGUACCCUCUGAACUUGUCUACCCCAGCCAUUGAACCCCCAAUAGAAUUGUCCCUCUCCGACAUCCUGGACAGUCCUGAUUGGCUCUGCGACCCUGCAUCACCCACCUGGGGCGAGUUCUAAUGGACCAAUCACACUGUUUGGCGAAUGGUUGAAAGCAGCUGGUGGUCGCCUCUGACCACAGAACAUCAGUACUGAUUUUCUGGCAAUUUUCUGAUGAAUCUCCACAUUGAAUCUCCACUGUCCAUCGACAGACAACCACCCAGGUGAUCUACAGCCAACGUCUGUGAUGACGUGUCUUCCACGGAGUAAGAUUCCUGGCACCCUGUGAAAGACUCAUUUAGGUUUCUGUAGAAAAGAACAGAAAGACACUUAAAAUUGAUGGACUCUGGUGUUUGGUACAUGUAUAUACCAAGCACAUGUACUGGUUGUUCACAUCUUGUGAGGAAUUCUGUAGCUGUUAUGUUGAUUCUCGGUUUGUGUUUUUGAAUAACCGGCCCUGUUCAUUGGUCAUA
ensembl:lncRNA